UACAGAUGGACCCGCGGCGCAUUAGCUAGUUGGGUGAGGUAACGGCUCACCAAGGCGACGAUGCGUAGCCGACCUGAGAGGGUGAUCGGCCACACUGGGACUGAGACACGGCCCAGACUCCUACGGGAGGCAGCAGUAGGGAAUCUUCCGCAAUGGACGAAAGUCUGACGGAGCAACGCCGCGUGAGUGAUGAAGGUUUUCGGAUCGUAAAACUCUGUUGUUAGGGAAGAACAAGUACCGUUCGAAUAGGGCGGUACCUUGACGGUACCUAACCAGAAAGCCACGGCUAACUACGUGCCAGCAGCCGCGGUAAUACGUAGGUGGCAAGCGUUGUCCGGAAUUAUUGGGCGUAAAGCGCGCGCAGGCGGUUUCUUAAGUCUGAUGUGAAAGCCCCCGGCUCAACCGGGGAGGGUCAUUGGAAACUGGGGAACUUGAGUGCAGAAGAGGAGAGUGGAAUUCCACGUGUAGCGGUGAAAUGCGUAGAGAUGUGGAGGAACACCAGUGGCGAAGGCGACUCUCUGGUCUGUAACUGACGCUGAGGCGCGAAAGCGUGGGGAGCGAACAGGAUUAGAUACCCUGGUAGUCCACGCCGUAAACGAUGAGUGCUAAGUGUUAGAGGGUUUCCGCCCCUUUAGUGCUGCAAGCAAAACGC
rnacentral:rRNA from 1 species